rnacentral:rRNA from 1 species
GACGAACGCUGGCGGCGUGCUUAACACAUGCAAGUCGAACGGCAAGGCCCUGAUUUCGUGCGGUGCUCGAGUGGCGAACGGGUGCGUAACACGUGAGUAACCUGCCCUUGACUUUGGGAUAACUUCAGGAAACUGGGGCUAAUCCCGGACCGGAGACCCCGUAGCAUGGAGGGGGUUGGAAAGUUUCGGCGGUUGGGGAUGGAUGGGCGGCUUACCAGCUAGUUGGUGGGCGAGUGGCAUACCAAGGCUUUGACGGAUAGCCGGCCUGAGAGGGUGAACGGCGACAAUGGGACUGAGAGACGGCGCAGACGCCUACGGUAGACAGCAGUGGGGAGUAUUGCACAGUGGGCGGGAGCCUGAGGCGACAACGCUGCGUGCGUGAUGACGGCCUGCUGGGUGUAAACCGCAGUCGCCUGUUACGAAGCGGUAGUGACGGUAAUGAAUAAAGAAGCACCGGCUAACUACGUG